rnacentral:lncRNA from 1 species
UAAAGUAAUAUAGUCUCGCACUACAUUUAGAAGGUCUCGUGGUGCGUUCAGGGACUGAAUGGAUGCAGGUGGGCAGGGCGCUUUGUUCCUGUCCAGGCAGCUUAUGCUUGUUGCUCUGCUGUGUCCAGUCUCCAGCACUAGCACCUCUCUGACCCCCACCAGCUCUGCUAGCGCUGCCGGCUCAGCCGUCGCCUCCUCCGGUAAGGCUUCCUGUUAGCUCAGUGUUAGCGCCAACCAAAGAGGAGACGGCUCGCGUGCAGUAGACACGUGGACAGAGUCGGGCCUGGCUCCUCCGACACAGCCAGUUUGUUCACUGACUCUGUCUGUUUGUGUUGCUGUGCGAUGCUCAUCAGUUGUGGCUGCUGCUACCGCCUGGCCCUCCUCUGGCCCUGCUGCCCCCUCCACCCCCUCCACCCCUGCAGCCGGCAGCCCAGCGCGUGGUAAGGCAGUCGCUGCUACCACCAUUCAUUCAGUGUGUUGAGGCUGACGUCAUGUGUUCUCCCGUAGACCAGCCAACGGCCCCGGCUAGCAAUCCGGCUACUAGCCCCCUGCUGCCCGGAACAACUCCUCCGCUGCUGCUAGUCUCUACUAACCCUCCAGCCACUAACUUAGCCGCUACCGCCUCCUGGGGUAAGACGCUGGUUCACUGUGACGGUUUCAGACCUGAAUGCGAUUGGACAUGAUUCUUUGUCUUUCUGCCGGUUACUAUUGAACCAUUAUCAUGUGGUGUGCUCUGAUCAUGGUCAUCUGUUUGUUUCAUCUCGAAGGAAGCGAAGGAACGACUCCUCCGCUGCUGCUAGUCUCUACUAACCCUCCAGCCACUAACUUAGCUGCUGCUGCCUCCUGGGGUAAGACUCUCUGUAGCGCAUUGACAUGUGGCUGCUUCUAACUGGUCAACAGCCCAACCUGCUGUGGGUCACGGGUUCUCUGUGCUGCAGCUUGCAUCAGUCGAUACGCAUUCUUGGGUUUCUUCUUGGUCUUCCUUGUUUUCUAUUCCUUACAUAAUCAGAUAACACAUUAACCAAAGCAGUGUUCAUGAAUGUGGCACAGCUGUGAUGAGCUUAGUGGAGGUCGUUGGUCUAAUUGUUCUGAUGUUC